UGCGCGGCUUCCGUUGGCCUCUUUGUCUUGCGGGAUGUCGGCUGUGAGCUCGUGCUCUGUUGGGGCCAGCAUGCUGGGUGGACAGGAGAGCAUUAUGCGACUUGUGGCGGUGACCUGAAGACUUCCCUGGGGAGCUGAGUGUGAUGGAUUCUGAUGUAUGGAGGAUGGGGCUAGUGAACUGCACAAUAGCAGAUGGCACCUUGUCUGCAGCGUGGGGCCUGUGCUCUACAUGAGUAGGCAUGGCGCUAAUCUGUAGAGGAUGGGAUCAAGUUGCCAGACAUGAGCAGUGAUGGCGUCUAAUCUCUGUAAGGGAAGGUCGGCUGCCAGACAUGAUCGGCAAAUCUAUCAUGGACAGAUUAUGAACAAUGGAAGACCAGGUCCUCCUCAGCCUCAGAACCCUAACAUGAUGUCUGUGGACCCUGAGGCAGACUGCAGAUGUAUUUCCUUCACUCAUGGGGUAGGGGGCAGUCCUGUCUGCUGCUAUGCUGCCCUCUGCUGGAAUCUGAAUAAACAAGUUGUUUAUGCAAACUG